rnacentral:rRNA from 1 species
AGUGAAUAGAUACCCGGGUAGUCCACGCCCUAAACGAUGUCUACUAGUUGUUGGUGGAGUAAAAUCCAUUAGUAAACGCAGCUAAACGCGUGAAGUAGACCGCCUGGGGAGUACGGUCGCAAGAUUAAAACUACAAAGGAAUUGACGGGGGGCCCGGCACAAGCGGUGGAUUAUGUGGAUUAAUUCGAUGCAACGCGAAAAACCUUACCUGGUCCUUGACAUGCCACUAACGAAGCAGAGAUGCAUUAGGUGCCCGAAAGGGAAAGUGGACACAGGUGCUGCAUGGCUGUCGUCAGCUCGUGUCGUGAGAUGUUGGGUUAAGUCCCGCAACGAGCGCAACCCUUGCCAAUAAUUGCCA